UACAGAGGGUGCGAGCGUUAAUCGGAUUUACUGGGCGUAAAGCGCGCGUAGGCGGUUUGUUAAGUUGGAUGUGAAAGCCCCGGGCUCAACAUGGGAGCUGCAUCCAAAACUGGCAAGCUAGAGUACGGUAGAGGGUGGUGGAAUUUCCUGUGUAGCGGUGAAAUGCGUAGAUAUAGGAAGGAACACCAGUGGCGAAGGCGACCACCUGGAAUGAUACCGACACUGAGGUGCGAGAGCGUGGGGAGCAAACAGG
rnacentral:misc_RNA from 1 species